AACGUAGCGAGGUAACGAGAAGCUGCCGAUGAAAUCCGAGGCCGUGGAUUCAUUCAAGACAAGAGUCCAAGUCUCGGGCGAAGCCAGCUGUCGCUUGCUCUGACGCUUCCUCUGCAGAAUUGGUCUGAUGGAACACAGGCAGUCAGCGCGGCUCGGUACGGCAAGGCAACAAUGGGACCAGCGUGCAUACAUCACGGUUCGGACUGGAAGUUUGACACAGCACC